rnacentral:rRNA from 1 species
GGGUUGUGAGGUUAAGCGACUAAGCGUACACGGUGGAUGCCUAGGCAGUCAGAGGCGAUGAAGGGCGUGCUAAUCUGCGAUAAGCGUCGGUAAGCUGAUAUGAAGCGUUAUACCCGACGAUACCCGAAUGGGGGAAACCCAGUGUGUUUCGACACACUAUCAUGACAUGAAUACAUAGUGUCAUGAGGCGAACCGGGGGAACUGAAACAUCUCAGUACCCCGAGGAAAAGAAAUCAACCGAGAUUCCCCCAGUAGCGGCGAGCGAACGGGGAGGAGCCCAGAACCUGAAUCAGUUUGUGUGUUAGUGGAAGCGUCUGGAAAGUCGCACAGUAAAGGGUGAUAGUCCCGUACACAAAAAUGCACAGAUUGUGAGUUCGAUGAGUAGGGCGGGACACGUGACAUCCUGUCUGAAUAUGGGGGGGGACCAUCCUCCAAGGCUAAAUACUCCUGACUGACCGAUAGUGAACCAGUACCGUGAGGGAAAGGCGAAAAAGAACCCCGGCGAGGGGGAGUGAAAUAGAACCUGAAACCGUGUACGUACAAGCAGUGGGAGCCUACUUGUUAGGUGACUGCGUACCUUUUGUAUAAUGGGUCAGCGACUUAUAUUCUGUAGCAAGGUUAACCGUAUAGGGGGAGCCGCAGGGAAACCGAGUCUUAACUGGGCGUUAAGUUGCAGGGUAUAGACCCGAAACCCGGUGAUCUAGCCAUGGGCAGGUUGAAGGUUGGGUAACACUAACUGGAGGACCGAACCGACUAAUGUUGAAAAAAUUAGCGGAUGACUUGUGGCUGGGGGGUGAAAGGCCAAUCAAACCGGGAGAUAGCUGGUUCUCCCCGAAAGCUAUUUAGGUAGCGCCUCGUGAAUUCAUCUUCGGGGGGUAGAGCACUGUUUCGGCUAGGGGGGUCAUCCCGACUUACCAACCCGAUGCAAACUACGAAUACCGAAGAAUGUUAUCACGGGAGACACACGGCGGGUGCUAACGUUCGUCGUGAAGAGGGAAACAACCCAGACCGCCAGCUAAGGUCCCAAAGUCAUGGUUAAGUGGGAAACGAUGUGGGAAGGCAUAGACAGCCAGGAUGUUGGCUUAGAAGCAGCCAUCAUUUAAAGAAAGCGUAAUAGCUCACUGGUCGAGUCGGCCUGCGCGGAAGAUGUAACGGGGCUAAACCAUGCACCGAAGCUGCGGCAGCGACACUUAGGUGUUGUUGGGUAGGGGAGCGUUCUGUAAGCCGUCGAAGGUGGCCUGUGAGGGCUGCUGGAGGUAUCAGAAGUGCGAAUGCUGACAUAAGUAACGAUAAUGCGGGUGAAAAACCCGCACGCCGGAAGACCAAGGGUUCCUGUCCAACGUUAAUCGGGGGCAGGGUGAGUCGACCCCUAAGGCGAGGCUGAAAAGCGUAGUCGAUGGGAAACAGGUUAAUAUUCCUGUACUCGGUGUUACUGCGAAGGGGGGGGACGGAGAAAGCUAGGUUAUCCGGGCGACGGUUGUCCCGGUUUAAGCGUGAAGGUGGAUGACUUUGGUAAAUCCGGGUCGUCAUUAACACUGAGGCGUGAUGACGAGUCACUACGGUGAUGAAGUAACCGAUGCUACGCUUCCAGGAAAAGCCUCUAAGCUCCAGGUAACAUCAAAUCGUACCCCCAAACCGACACAGGUGGUCAGGUAGAGAAUACUCAGGCGCUUGAGAGAACUCGGGUGAAGGAACUAGGCAAAAUGGUGCCGUAACUUCGGGAGAAGGCACGCUGAUGGUAGGUGAAGUGACUUGCUCAUGGAGCUGAAAUCAGUCGAAGAUACCAGCUGGCUGCAACUGUUUAAUAAAAACACAGCACUGUGCAAACACGAAAGUGGACGUAUACGGUGUGACGCCUGCCCGGUGCCGGAAGGUUAAUUGAUGGGGUCAGCCGCAAGGCGAAGCUCUUGAUCGAAGCCCCGGUAAACGGCGGCCGUAACUAUAACGGUCCUAAGGUAGCGAAAUUCCUUGUCGGGUAAGUUCCGACCUGCACGAAUGGCGUAAUGAUGGCCAGGCUGUCUCCACCCGAGACUCAGUGAAAUUGAACUCGCUGUGAAGAUGCAGUGUACCCGCGGCAAGACGGAAAGACCCCGUGAACCUUUACUAUAGCUUGACACUGAACCUUGAGCCUUGAUGUGUAGGAUAGGUGGGAGGCUUUGAAGCGUGGACGCCAGUCUGCGUGGAGCCAACCUUGAAAUACCACCCUUUAAUGUUUGAUGUUCUAACGUGGACCCGUAAUCCGGGUUGCGGACAGUGUCUGGUGGGUAGUUUGACUGGGGCGGUCUCCUCCCAAAGCGUAACGGAGGAGCACGAAGGUUAGCUAAUCCUGGUCGGACAUCAGGAGGUUAGUGCAAAGGCAUAAGCUAGCUUGACUGCGAGAGUGACAGCUCGAGCAGGUGCGAAAGCAGGUCUUAGUGAUCCGGUGGUUCUGAAUGGAAGGGCCAUCGCUCAACGGAUAAAAGGUACUCCGGGGAUAACAGGCUGAUACCGCCCAAGAGUUCAUAUCGACGGCGGUGUUUGGCACCUCGAUGUCGGCUCAUCACAUCCUGGGGCUGAAGUAGGUCCCAAGGGUAUGGCUGUUCGCCAUUUAAAGUGGUACGCGAGCUGGGUUUAGAACGUCGUGAGACAGUUCGGUCCCUAUUCUGCCGUGGGCGUUGGAAGAUUGAGAGGGGUUGCUCCUAGUACGAGAGGACCGGAGUGAACGCACCACUGGUGUACGGGUUGUGAUGCCAAUUGCAUUGCCCGGUAGCUAAGUGCGGAAGAGAUAACCGCUGAAAGCAUCUAAGCGGGAAACUUGCCUCGAGAUGAGUCUUCCCUGGGCACUUGAUGCCCCUGAAGGGCCGUUGAAGACGACGACGUAGAUAGGCUGGGUGUGUAAGCGUAGCGAUACGUUGAGCUAACCAGUACUAAUGACCCGAGAGGCUUAACCUUACAACACCGAAGGUGUUU